rnacentral:tmRNA from 1 species
GGGGAUGAACGGCUUCGAUAGGUUUUGAGGCCUGAACUGCGAGUCGAGCGUUGUCUCGUAAAUCCAACAAAAAAAUUAUAACUGCCAACUCAAAAGUUGCAGCUCCAGCUUUCGCUUACGCCUAAGCUGGGAUCGGUUGAGCCCGGGCUUCUUGGGUUCAAAUCCGGUCUUAUAUAAGGAAGCUGGUUUCUAAACGAUGAUUCUGGUUUAGGGACGAGAUAAGAAUCACUUUGUCUGAUUAAUUUCAGUCUAUACUCGUAGACGGUUCAGCGCUCCAAUCUCUACACGGCGGUCCGACUCCGCCCAUCUCCACUA